rnacentral:rRNA from 1 species
AACGAACGCUGGCGGCAGGCCUAACACAUGCAAGUCGAGCGAACUCUUCGGAGUUAGCGGCGGACGGGUGAGUAACGCGUGGGAAUAUGCCCAAAGGUACGGAACAACAGUUGGAAACGACUGCUAAUACCGUAUGUGCCCUACGGGGGAAAGAUUUAUCGCCUUUGGAUUAGCCCGCGUUGGAUUAGGUAGUUGGUGGGGUAACGGCCCACCAAGCCGACGAUCCAUAGCUGGUUUGAGAGGAUGACCAGCCACACUGGGACUGAGACACGGCCCAGACUCCUACGGGAGGCAGCAGUGGGGAAUCAUAGACAAUGGGGGCAACCCUGAUCUUGCCAUGCCGCGUGAGCGAUGAAGGCCUUAGGGUUGUAAAGCUCUUUCACCGGUGAAGAUAAUGACGGUAGCCGGAGAAGAAGCCCCGGCUAACUCCGUGCCAGCCGCCGCCGUAAUAC